GGAAGAUUACCGAGCGAGACAAGAGGCCCGAGGGCUACAACCUGAAGGAUGAGGAGGGGAAGCUGAAAGACCUGUCCACAGUGACGUCACUGCAGGUGCCUGUGCUGAAGCCCAUGGACUUAAUGGUGGAAGUGAGCCCGAGAAGGAUCUUUGCCAAUGGCCACACCUACCACAUCAACUCCAUCUCCGUCAACAGCGACUGCGAGACGUACAUGUCAGCGGACGACCUGCGCAUUAACCUCUGGCAUCUGGCCAUCACUGAUCGGAGCUUCAGUAUCCUCGCCCUUGACCUGUGGGGAAGGGGCUUCAGGGGCUGGGGGGUUGUCCUUGGCAGCUUUCUUACUGUAGAACCCGUCUCAUCCGUGGUGUAAAAGGGGCUGGGUGUAUAAUCACAAACUGUCUGUGAACACCCU
rnacentral:lncRNA from 1 species